ensembl:lncRNA
GGGUUGCUUCACAUAUAAUUGUCUCCAGUCGACCUACAUACUAAAUGUGGUAGAAGUGGUAAAAAAGGAGAGCAGUGGAGAGUGGUGUCAGACAGAGGGACACAUGAUUAAACAGUAUUCCAGCGAUGCUCCAUUUGAAGUUGUGUUGGAUGGUGGUAACUGGAUAGAUGGCAUUGUAAAUGGUAUUGUGUCAUGGAGAGCUGUGGCUCUGGUGGAACUGAGGAACAGAUCUGACACCGGCAAAGCCAAUUCAUCACCCCAGACCACCAUCAUACCAGCCGUGAGAGUUCCCUCAAACUGUGCAAGAGAUUUCGUCUUGUUGGCGUUUGACCCUGAUGGUGAUGUGGUUAAGUGCAGAAAUGGGGAUGAAUCACUGUCAGAAUGUAAUCCCUGCACUCCACCAUCUGUCCUCAGCCUCACACCAUCUUGUACUCUGUCCUUCCGCCCCACUGAUAGCAGUAAUGAAGGUCCAUAUGCAGUACAGCUGGUGAUGGAGGACUUUCCCCGGCAGAACAUAACUCUGACUCAAACCGAUGGGACACAGACUAAUCUAACUACCAAUAAUGCAAUUGGCAAAAUACCGGUCCAGUUUGUUUUAAGGGUGGAUUCUCCAGUGCCAUCCUGCACAGAAGGACUCUUUCUGCCACUAUUCCUGCCUCCAACUCCAGCCAACGGAGCUCAGCUAUAUACCCCUGUAGGACAAACCCUGGAAAUCAGCAUCAAAGCAGAGGCGACAAAUUCCACGAUCUCUGAGCUGCUCUACAGUGGGCCCUACACUAUAUUUCAAAAUAAAACAGGACCAGGAGAGUUCAUCCUCUCAUGGACGCCAUCUGAGAGCGAAGCGGGAGAAAGCUACCCCAUCUGUUAUGUUGUCCAGGCACUUUUUGGUGUAGUGAAGUAUCACUCUGACCUUCGAUGCGUCAUUGUGACUGUUGAAAAUGUUUAUGUCGCUGCCCUGAGUGGGAGGAUCUCCUUUUCAUUGCCUUUUACUGCAGACAAUGUCAACAGUGUCAUCAUACAGAAGAUUAAAGAAGAACUGGAGAAACGCGGUCUGCCGCCAGACGCAAGUCUACGCCUCGUGAGAGGAGACCAAGUAUUAACAACAACCACAGCGCCCUCUUAUGGCUGAUUAUCACACUGCACAUGAGUGCACAGCUCAAUAGCCAGAGAGUGUGUUGGGGAUUUUUUUUAUAACAUAUAUACCUGUAUAGACUGGACAUAUACUCACAUAUAUAAUAUAAUCAUAUAUGCUUACAUAUAUACUAUGUAAUCAUAUAUACGUGUAUACACUAUAUAUACCUGCAAUGGAGUAUUUUUAUGUAUACAUGAUAUGUACCUAGACGGGAGAGUUUUAUAUAUUGGAAUCACUGUGUUAAACAUUUAACCUACAUAUUCAAAUCACAAGACCCAUAUAUG